UUGGGCUAAUGUGAUUGAAGCUCAGAAGGGUGUAGAGUUACACAGUAUUCUGAGCACCACAGGAUGCCCCUGAACACUGGCCUAGGUCACAUGCUCAUGGCCACUGGAGGGACAUGAUCCCCCUUAGAUCCAAGCAUCUGUGGGCCACCACUGGACGAGAUACCAUGCAGACUCUCUGUCCUCCCAUUCUCUCCCUUCUUCCCUCUCUUUUUUCUCUCCUCUUUCUCCUUCUCUCUGUUCUUGAUCUCUCUCCCUCAAUCAGCAAACGGAAAUGGAGACUUCAGAGCCAGGGGCAGAGACCAAUCCUGUAGUGUUCUGGGAAAGGAGAGAGACAAACACCGCGAUCCCCAUCAAUUAAAAGCUGAUGGGAGUUGGGGUGCCUGGGUGGCUCGCUGCUUGGGGGCACCACUUUCUGGCUGGGACAGGAGGCAGGCAAGGGACCCAGAACUUGAGAAAAUCAUGCCUUGAGGAGUUCCCAUUUCUGAGCCAGCAUGCAAGGAGCUGAAAACAUAUGUCACAGAAAAACCUGCGCGUGGAUGUUCAGAGGGGCUUUAUUCCUAAUUGCCAAAACUUAGAAGCAACCAAAAUGCCCUUUGGUAGGUGUAUGGAUGAGUAAGCUGUGGUACAUCCAGGCGAUGGGACAGUAUCCCAUAAAAUGAAAUGAACUAUCAAUCAAGCCAUGAAACAACACGGAGGAAUCUUAAAUGCACAUUACUAAGUGAAAGAAGCUGAUCUGAAAAGGCUCCAUGCUAUAGGAUUCCAACCAUAUGACGUUCUGGGAAAGACAAAACGGUGGAGGUGGUGAAAAACUAAUGGUUACCAGCGGUGGUGGGGGAGGGAGGGAUGAAGAGGUGGAGCACAGAGUAUUUUUAGGGCAGUAAAACUACUCCGUAUGAUACAAUGGUAGAAAUGGGAAUAUGUCAUUAAAUAUUAAUCAAAACCCAUUGAAUGUACAGCAUCAAGAGUGAACCCUAAUGGAAACUGUGGAUUUUGGGUGAUAAUGAUGUGUCGGUGUAGGUUCACUGCUUGUAACAAA